CCUACGGGGGGCUGCAGUGGGGAAUAUUGCACAAUGGGCGCAAGCCUGAUGCAGCCAUGCCGCGUGUGUGAAGAAGGCCUUCGGGUUGCAAAGCACUUUCAGCGGGGAGGAAGGCGGUGAGGUUAAUAACCUCAUCGAUUGACGUUACCCGCAGAAGAAGCACCGGCUAACUCCGUGCCAGCAGCCGCGGUAAUACGGAGGGUGCAAGCGUUAAUCGGAAUUACUGGGCGUAAAGCGCACGCAGGCGGUCUGUCAAGUCGGAUGGGAAAUCCCUGGGCUCAACCUGGGAACUGCAUUCGAAACUGGCAGGCUAGAGUCUUGUAGAGGGUGGUAGAAUUCCAGGUGUAGCGGUGAAAUGCGUAGAGAUCUGGAGGAAUACCGGUGGCGAAGGCGGCCCCCUGACAAAGACUGACGCUCAGGUGCGAAAGCGUGGGGAGCAAACAGGAUUAGAUACCCCUGUAGUC
rnacentral:rRNA from 1 species